AAUGAAUUGCCUGAUAAAAGGACUACCUUGAUAGGGUAAAUUAUGUAAAUUUAUAUUACAUUCAUUA
rnacentral:tRNA from 1 species